AAUAAUUAAAAUUAAAAGUGUAAUUAUCGAAUUAGCAAUGGAGAUUAUUCGCUCGGCUAAUCACACACAUAACAUUGUUAGGACUUUGUAUUACAAUAUAAUAUUUAUAUUUUAGGUGUGGGAAGAAAGAACAAAGAACAAAAUAUCUGCCACGAAAAUAACAAGGAAUAUAAACUGAAAACUCAACAUAAAAUGUAAAUAAAUCAUCCAUAGUAGGUAGCUGCCUAAAAGUCUUCCUAAAAAGUGAAAGAAAAAUCGACCGAAACUAAAAGACUCCAUGCAACGAAUUCAGAACAAACUAUUAUAUGUGACUCCAUGUUUGCGAAUGAGAAACUCUACAUUGUGUCGAGUUAGUCGAGUCCGUCGGGUCCUCGUCGGACAAAGUGUUCUCGUCGCCAGUUAGACGAGUCUAAACUAAUUAGUUGUCAACUUGUCACCGGGCCGUGGCCCAUAAAACAUACUCCAUACAACUUAUCCCAUUUUGCGAGGGCCUCAUGAGAAAUUAAAAUGAGUUUAGAAACUUG